ensembl:lncRNA
GCCCGGACUACAACUACCAUAAUGACACUCCCUACUCCUCCACUGGCUGAGGGUCUGCCUGGACUACAUCUACCAUAGUGACACUCCCUACUCCUCCACUGGCUGAAGGUAUGCCGGCCGGACUACAACUACCAUAAUGACACUCCCUACUCCUCCACUGGCUGAAGGCCUGCCGGACUACAACUACCAUAAUGACACUCCCUACUCCUCCACUGGCUGAAGGUCUGCCGGACUACAACUACCAUAAUGACACUCCCUACUCCUCCACUGGCUGAAGGUCUGCCCGGACUACAACUACCAUAAUGACACUCCCUACUCCUCCACUGGCUGAAGAUCUGCCGGACUACAACUACCAUAGUGACACUCCCUACUCCUCCACUGGCUGAAGGUAUGCCGGACUACAACUACCAUAAUGACACUCCCUACUCCUCCACUGGCUGAAGGUCUGCCCGGAC